rnacentral:rRNA from 1 species
UACGAAGGGGGCUAGCGUUGCUCGGAAUCACUGGGCGUAAAGGGUGCGUAGGCGGGUCUUUAAGUCAGGGGUGAAAUCCUGGAGCUCAACUCCAGAACUGCCUUUGAUACUGAAGAUCUUGAGUUCGGGAGAGGUGAGUGGAACUGCGAGUGUAGAGGUGAAAUUCGUAGAUAUUCGCAAGAACACCAGUGGCGAAGGCGGCUCACUGGCCCGAUACUGACGCUGGACGGCACGAAAGCGUGGGGAG